AUUGAACGCUGGCUGCAUGCUUUACACAUGCAAGUCGAACGGUAACAGGUUAAGCUGACGAGUGGCGAACGGGUGAUUAAUGCAUCGGAACGUGCCCGGUCGUGGGGGAUAACACUUCGAAAGAAGUGCUAAUACCGCAUACGAUCUGAGGAUGAAAGCGGGGGACCGUAAGGCCUCGCGCGAUCGGAGCUGCCGAGGUCAGAUUAGGUAGUUGGUGGGGUAAAGGCUCACCAAGCCGACGAUCUGUAGCUGGUCUGAGAGGACGACCAGCCACACUGGGACUGAGACACGGCCCAGACUCCUACGGGAGGCAGCAGUGGGGAAUUUUGGACAAUGGGCGCAAGCCUGAUCCAGCAAUGCCGCGUGCAGGAAGAAGGCCUUCGGGUUGUAAACUGCUUUUGUACGGAGCGAAAAGGCUCUCUCUAAUACAGGGGGCUCAUGACGGUACCGUAAGAAUAAGCACCGGCUAACUACGUGCCAGCCGCCGCAGUAA
rnacentral:rRNA from 1 species